rnacentral:rRNA from 1 species
GAUGAACGCUGGCGGCGUGCCUAAUACAUGCAAGUCGAGCGAACAGACGAGGAGCUUGCUCCUCUGACGUUAGCGGCGGACGGGUGAGUAACACGUGGAUAACCUACCUAUAAGACUGGGAUAACUUCGGGAAACCGGAGCUAAUACCGGAUAAUAUAUUGAACCGCAUGGUUCAAUAGUGAAAGACGGUUUUGCUGUCACUUAUAGAUGGAUCCGCGCCGCAUUAGCUAGUUGGUAAGGUAACGGCUUACCAAGGCGACGAUGCGUAGCCGACCUGAGAGGGUGGUCGGCCACACUGGAACUGGGACACGGUCCAGACUCCUAAGGGAGGCAGCAGUAGGGAAUCUUCCGCAAUAGGCGAAAGCCUGACGGAGCAACGCCGCGUGAGUGAUGAAGGUCUUCGGAUCGUAAAACUCUGUUAUUAGGGAAGAACAAAUGUGUAAGUAACUAUGCACGUCUUGACGGUACCUAAUCAGAAAGCCACGGCUAACUACGUG